rnacentral:lncRNA from 1 species
UCUACAGAGAGGCUCAGAAUGGCUAGGGCACCUCAACACAGCAACGAAGCAAAUUUCUUGAGAAUCUGGACCCUAGGCUUCUCAACUUGAUGGCCUUGGAAAAGAUGUGAACUAACUAUCCUCUUUAUGUCUGUCAUGGAUGGGAGAAGAAAGGUUGGAAAAUGCAGCAGAAAUAAAGUAUUUGCUCUGCUGAAGAUGGAAAAUCUAACCAGGCAGUGCACUUAGGCGGCACCUAAUGAGGAGUGUCACAACUUAUGACG